UGCUUGUACAAUGUCUCCAUGAUUAAUAAACUUUAUAUCGUAUUUAAAUGAUUUACUCAUAUCGAAAUGAAAUAUAUACAAUAUUUGUGUCACGGAUAAAAUUGGAAAGACGAAUGUGUUUAACCUCCUACUAUUAAUUGUAAAGAAUUUCUCUGCCGGCGCCGUCACGUCUACAAAAGUGUGCCAGCUCCCAUAGGAAUACAUUGAAGUCGACAAUCGGAGACCGGGCUGACCUCCGGUUUAUCGAGUUCUUCACUGGCGUAAUAAAAUCCCGGACCAAUAGUUUGGUCGGACCGGCUAUGUGUGCAAAACCUUCACUUAUUUACAUUGCAUCCGGUGUUGGAACAGGAUCGGGGAAAGCCAGUGUGUGCGCAAGCGCCUUAAGGGUUGUUUUUAGUGUUUCUGCUCUCUCCUGGGUGCAGCAGUUGACUACUAAACCGGUCAGAUCCAGUAUUCUUUUUUUAAUUCCAACUUUAAUUUCUUUUAAAUUAAUAGCUUUCUGUAUUUGUUGAAGUAAUUUGUGUGGUUC
rnacentral:lncRNA from 1 species